CCGGGUUACGUCGGUUCGAAAUGGGACUAUCCGCGCGCGACCCGCGGGAGUCCCGGCCGCCGGGUGGUGCGGGGACCUGCCCCACGCGCUCGCUGCCCCACCGCGGGCCGCCGCCUGGCUCGCCCGGGGCGGGUCGUCGGGUUUCACGCAGGCCCCACCCCGCGGGGCGCCCGCUCUCUCCGCGGCCCCUGUCCCCACCGACCGGCGCGUGACAGCGCCCCCUCCGGGUGGGGUCGGGAGCCAGGAGCCUAGAGAUUUAGAUGGAUGCCACAGAGCCAGUAAACGGAAGGUGCUCGGGAAGGAUUGACCCCAGCGAUUGUCCCUCGCCUACGGAGUCCCGACUCAGCCUUUUCACGCAAUAACGCAAUGAGCAGACGAUGUGUUUGUGGCGACUUCAUUCGGAGCCUUGGAGGGAGUGGCUGCCGACCUGAGGACCAGGGCCUGGCCUGAGCUGGGAGCUGCCUGGGUACCGGCUGGCCUGGCAGCUGAAGGUGCCACAAGGCGGGGAGCCAGAGGGACUGUCCCACCAGCUGGCCCUUUACGAAUGGGUAAACCGAGGCUCAGAGCUGAAGAGGGCCUUGCCGAAGUACGCAAGAAGCAGCAGCAAAGCAGGGACAGGUCCCUGAUCUUCAACAACGUCAGAGUCUCAGCCCCCGUGUCGCUCGCAGGGAGAUCUGGGUCCCGGCUCUGCCCUCCGGGACGCCGUCAUGCCUGCCGGCUCCCUCCACCCUGGGCCAGGGAUCGGAAAACCUCAUUCGUACAUCCAGCCCAGGACGCAACCUGUGCAGACGCAACUAGCCCAGUGCCCCUAUUUGAUAGCCAAAAUUUGAUCAAAAUUUGAUACGCCAAAGUGGAGACAAGUCACAGGGCACCUGGACAGAGACUUGAGAGCAUGACUCCCAAUCUGACGCCCUGGCCGAGUAAUUCCCAAGUCCCCGAGGCCACCAGAACCACAGAAACUGCCCUCGCGACGGCAACCUUGCUCCUAGCACACGCGGGAGCCUCCCCAUCAUGCUCCUGGUCCCAGCAACCGAAGAGAAGACAUAUUCGUCGGGAAGGGGGUGCCCUGGGUGGGAGAGGGGCGUUAGGUAAAAACUUAGAGAAUCUGAAUAAACUAUGAGCUUCAGUUAAUAAUCAUGUUUCAGGGGGCGCCUGGGGGACCCAGUCGGUUAAACGUCUGACUCAUGAUUUCAGCUCACGGUUCGUGAG